AGUGAACGCUGGCGGUAGGCCUAACACAUGCAAGUCGAACGGCAGCACAGUAAGAGCUAGCUCUUACGGGUGGCGAGUGGCGGACGGGUGAGGAAUACAUCGGAAUCUACUUUUUCGUGGGGGAUAACGUAGGGAAACUUACGCUAAUACCGCAUACGACCUACGGGUGAAAGCAGGGGAUCUUCGGACCUUGCGCGAUUGAAUGAGCCGAUGUCGGAUUAGCUAGUUGGCGGGGUAAAGGCCCACCAAGGCGACGAUCCGUAGCUGGUCUGAGAGGAUGAUCGGCCACACUGGAACUGAGACACGGUCCAGACUCCUACGGGAGGCAGCAGUGGGGAAUAUUGGACAAUGGGCGCAAGCCUGAUCCAGCCAUACCGCGUGGGUGAAGAAGGCCUUCGGGUGGUAAAGCCCUUUUGUUGGGAAAGAAAAGCAGCAGGUUAAGACCCCGCUGUUCUGACGGUACCCAAAGAAUAAGCACCGGCUAACUUCGC
rnacentral:rRNA from 1 species